GAGCAGCGACGACGUCCCAAGCAGACCUCUUCAGCUGUCGGCUCAAGUGCGAGCACGCCUUGGCCGACGUCGGUUUCCUGUGCUGAAUUCCUAUCGGAAUGGCAAACCUCCGGCUACCUACGUCCCGUAAUCCUCCCUUCGCCGCGGCUCCUCGAGGGGACGCGGUGCGGGUAGGACAUCAAAGCACGCGUCGUGUCUCGCAAUACACGCACUCCCCCGCGGGGUGCNCGGGUUGUCGACCCACGACGUCGUCCUCGUUCUCUCGGAUGCGGAAAACACGGCGGGUACGAGGCCACGGCCUCUAUCGUCCCUCAAAAUAACGGGCGUCCACGCCCCCUGCGGACGACUGCCGAUCCGGUCUUGACUCUGUGCCCCGGUGGCUCGGAUCAUGCCGGACCUG
rnacentral:misc_RNA from 1 species